rnacentral:snoRNA from 1 species
AUGCAUCACUAACAGACCUGGAGCAGUUAAUGUCUGCUGCUAAGGUUUCCACUAUAGAUGCAAGAAAAAGAAGGUCCUCGUGCUUUCUGUCUGGUUGUGGCAGCCAAGAUUGCAUGGGGGAAUUUAGGA